UUGUUUCGUUUUUAUUUAUAUACAAUAAUCUACCUAAGCUAUCUAUAUUUGACUAAGAUGAGCUUAAAUGGAGCCAAAUGGACAGCGGGAAUUUGUAUAGCCAACCCAAACUUGCUUGACAUUGACGCAUAGUAGUUGUUAUAUGCUGUCUAUUGGUAGUCUAAUUUUUCUGUCAUUGGAGCGAGUUUAUGUUGCUAGAAAUUUAUUUUAUGCUAAAAAAUCAAAAUAUGAGUUGUGCGCUAGUGCCUAUUGAAUAUUUGCAGUUAUUUUUUCUUCUUCCUACUGUCAACAAUUGGUGUGCAAUUGGGUUGCUUGCUUCCAUAGAGCACAUGUUAUUUCUAAUAAGCCGUUGAUUCUAAUGUGGAAAGGCCUCCUGGUGAGUUGGGGAAGGAGCAGUUCCGUUUCAAGGCUCCUACAACAUGGAGCAAGUAAAAAACAAGGAGGAGCUUUAGAGAACUGACCUUGCUAAUGUUUGGCAUUUGUGAAGAAGCCAGAAAAGGAACUUUCAAGUGGUUCUGCACUCAUAGAUGCUUAAUUAGAGAUGAUUGGUGUUGUUGCUGCGUUUUUGGCUUUCGUUGGCUACAGAAGUUUCUGUCUGUUUAUUCAGUUAUCUUCUUAUUCCUACCAAAUUGUCCUAUUUCUGCUCUAAUUUUCCCAGUUCCAAGCAGUUUUGGUCAUUUGAGGCGCAGCUGUUGUUGUUGCAAGUGGUUUUGGUCAUUUGGAGACUUCUUAAACUUGACCACCUGUCUUGCCAGAAUGUGCUUUCGAAUGGGAAAAAAAGUUGGGGAAUGGAUACAAAUGACGUUGGGGCAUUCUAUUCCUUCAAGUCCCACAGCUCUAAAUGUGCCUAUUCCUUCGACACCUUUCCACCAUAUUGGGAGUCCAACUUGUUGCGUCAUAAUUUAGAUUUUAUGCAUAUUGAAAAAACUUAUGCGAUAAUAUCAUAUAUACAUUGCUCCAUGUUAAAUCAAAAUCAAAAGACGAUACCUUUCCAUGGAAACAGCGGAAAAAUGGCUUAUUCCGCAUCAACCUAAGCCUGCUUAUUCCGACUAAGUGAUCCAUUGGCGAAAAGAGGGCCUUCCUCCUCCUUGCUUGAAGCUCUGUCAAAGAAGCAUUCUAUUCCGAAAAGGCUUAGGGCUAGGCUAAACCUCCCUCAAAGCCAUGAAGUCUCAGAGCUCUUAUUCCAAGAACUGGUGGGUUCAAGAUAGAGAGGGAGAGCCCUUCCAUUUCUUUUCUUUGAUGCACACGACUUUUUCACGGAGUCUGCUUCCACAGUUGCUUGAGUUUUGCUCAGGGAGUUUCACUUAACUACUUUGUCAAAGUGCUAUAUUGAUGUCUUAUUCUUCUAAUGAUCAUAUAAUACUUGCCGCAUGUCAUUUAACUUUGAACUUGCCCUCCUACCUGUUCUCUUCUUGUCCCAAAUUCUUUAUUUUAUUCUAACAUUUUUAUAAUAUCUUCUACUCAUAUUGUGUUCUACAACUGCUUCA
rnacentral:lncRNA from 1 species